rnacentral:ncRNA from 2 species
AAGAGGGAACCCGGUGCGAAUCCGGGACUGCCCCGCAGCGGUGUGCGGGAACGAACGCCGUGCCCGGUCGCGACCGGGACCGCACUGGACCGACACGGUCUGGGAAGCGACGGCUAGUAGGAACGCUCGGCCUGUUGAGCCGGGAGACGUCCGCGAGUCCGAAGACCU